GCUCCCUUCAGUCUCUGCAGAGCUCCGGGUUGAGCAGGACAGUGUUCCUUUCGGGUUGGCGGAUCGUUGUGUGCCGGCAACGCAUAUAGUACGCGAUACGAGCGUGAGGUAGUGACGUGAUAGGGUUGCGGACGGCCGAGGUAAACCUCAACUGGGUUUUGUUUAUCUUAAUGUGCCGUGUGUUGUUGUUGUAUGUAAGUGGUUAACGUUCAUGUAUUUUGUUGCAGAUUGCCACUUUUGCCUUGUCUUUUUGCUUGCCUUUUUGUCUUGAGUUACAGACUCUGCUCAGUAACAGGGCAGAUUUAAAGAUUCUGCUCAGUAACCGUGUGAUUUAAAGACUCUGCUCAGUAACAGUGUGAUUUAAAAGACUCUACUUAGUAACAGUGUUAAAGUAUCCCUGUCCGGGCUGUGUAAGCAGCCGUGGCUGUAGCUACAGUUUAUUGUGUCAGGCCUUUUCAUGUUCUUUGCAUCGUCUAAUUUAUUAACUAGAUGUGUUUAUUGUAGUGAGUGUGCCUUGUUUAUAGGCCUGAUUCAGAUAACCUGGCUGCAGUUAGCGGUGUCCUAAAACUGAUUUCUAGUAUGUCUGUUCAUGGUUGAAGUAGUAAUUAUUUGUGUUUUAAAACUAUUUGUCUGCCAAUUAAAUAAAGAUUGUGUAUAUAUUUUUUUCUAAA